UCGACCCUCUCUCUCUCUCUCUCUCUCUCUCACAUGACCCUCAGCCCAUCCGCAACUCCUUCGAGCUACUCUCCUGUUCCUCCCUCCUUUUUGGCCGCCUCUCAUCCCUCGUCCCUCCCCCCUCUGCUCCCUCCCACUACAACGGGACCCUACAUAUGGCUACGUAUAUACUCCAACGAAUUAGAUAUGCGCUGCUAGGGAAAAACUUCCCCACUUCGCGAGCGAGCGAAUAGAUAAGACGUGAUCUAUAACUGCCCGUAAUCCCGAUCCUCUCAUCCAACUAGUAUUAUGCACCGGCCUCUGCUGGCACCCACCCCGCAAUCCCGUGUGAGCAUCCCCGUCCAUGGUUUCUGCCCCUCGUGAUUCGUUCUCGUAUUGAGAUGCAGAGGACUAGGAUAUAAUUUGCGGCGGCGAGAGGAACAUCACUGCAUCACCAACCAUGACGAGCACGGCUAGGUGCAGCGGCACCUCUGGAGAUCCGUUCCUGCCCUUGAUUCACAGAUGUUCGCCCGUCCGCAGUUCCCGUACCACGAGUAUCAACUGCCCUGCCCUCACCCAGCUUCGCCUCCCUUCAUCAGGUUCUGCGUUCCUGACGGAGUUACUGCGAUAUGUAAGUUGUGUUGUGUCUAAACAUCACCUUGUGUUUCUGGUUUGUUUAAUUUGAGACUCGUAUGGUUGAUUACUAAGUCUAUAUCGUUUUGGUUUGCUGGUCCAUAAAUAUUAGACAUACCAUGCCCAUUAAUCUUGUGAUUUUCUAUGUACAGAACACAUAUCCGCUCUUUCCUGUAUAUACACUUGAAAAAUUAUCUUACAGACCAGUUCGAGUCUGUUGGAUAUACAUGUGGUGAUGUGGAGACAAAUACUCAAGGAGGAGGGAGACCGCUGAGAUCUAAAAUUCUUUGACUUCCUAGACUAUGUCUUAUGCAGUUUUGGUUUUCAGUUUCAGACAAAUGUCAUAUCUUCAGUAUUUGUGCACUGCAAAUAUGAGAAACAAAAAGCCAAUUGUACAGAAGAAAGGUUCAUAAGAUUGCACUCCCGAGUAAAGCUCUCCUCGACGACUGCGGUAGCCUGCGAAGAUUAAUAGGACCUGGAAAAAGAGGACAUGCAAGAAUCUGCUGCAACCAAGAGAUAAUAAUAUUCCCAAUAUAAAUGGAUGAUGCAUGGCUGAGGUGCUAGUAGCAAGUUCGAGAAUAGUGCUACUACCAGAUAGUUAGAAAUUAUUGUUUAGCAUUAUAUUUUCACAUGUACACAUGUUGUAUCUAUUGGAUCGUGUUCUUUGUAAAGCUACAAAGUAAAUUUAAUAUAUGAGGCCGUUCUGCUUACAAUGUUGCGGAUCU